rnacentral:tRNA from 2 species
GCACCCGUAGCUCAGCUGGAUAGAGCGUUGCCCUCCGAAGGCAAAGGUCAGAGGUUCGAAUCCUCUCGGGUGCGCCA